rnacentral:rRNA from 1 species
GACGAACGCUGGCGGCGUGCUUAACACAUGCAAGUCGAACGGAAAGGCCUCUUUCGGGGGGUACUCGAGUUGCGAACGGGUGAGUAACACGUGAGUAACCUGCCCUUGACUUUGGGAUAACUUCAGGAAACUGGGGCUAAUACCGGAUAGGAGCUCCUGCUGCAUGGUGGGGGUUGGAAAGUUUCGGCGGUUGGGGGUGGACUCGCGGCUUAUCAGCUUGUUGGUGGGGUAGUGGCUAACCAAGGCCUUGCCGGGUAGCCGGCCUGGGAGGGUGACCGGCCGCAUUGGGACUGAGAGACGGCCCAGACUCCUACGGGAGGCAGCAGUGGGGAAUAUUGCACAAUGGGUGGAAGCCUGAUGCAGCAACGCCGUGUGCGGGAUGACGGCCUUCGGGUUGUAAACCGCUUUCGCUCAUGACGAAGCUUUGUGUGACGGUAGUGGGUAAAGAAGCACCGGCUAACUACGUG